GAUCGCCGUCUUAAAAAUGCAAAAUCAUCAGUUGAAAUUUCACUCGUGUUGUUUUUUCAAAUUUUCGAAUUUUUGUAAAAUAUCGCGUGCGCCAGCAAUUUCUCUGCACAGCGACAACAAAUUUCCCAGCUGCUUUAACACGAGUGAAAUUUCAACUGAUGAUUUUGCAUUUUUAAGACGGCGAUC